UUAAUGAGAGUUUGAUCCUGGCUCAGGACGAACGCUGGCGGCGUGCCUAAUACAUGCAAGUAGAACGCUGAGGUUUGGUGUUUACACUAGACUGAUGAGUUGCGAACGGGUGAGUAACGCGUAGGUAACCUGCCUCAUAGCGGGGGAUAACUAUUGGAAACGAUAGCUAAUACCGCAUAAGAGUAAUUAACACAUGUUGGUUAUUUAAAAGGAGCAAUUGCUUCACUGUGAGAUGGACCUGCGUUGUAUUAGCUAGUUGGUGAGGUAAAGGCUCACCAAGGCGACGAUACAUAGCCGACCUGAGAGGGUGAUCGGCCACACUGGGACUGAGACACGGCCCAGACUCCUACGGGAGGCAGCAGUAGGGAAUCUUCGGCAAUGGACGGAAGUCUGACCGAGCAACGCCGCGUGAGUGAAGAAGGUUUUCGGAUCGUAAAGCUCUGUUGUUAGAGAAGAACGUUGGUAGGAGUGGAAAAUCUACCAAGUGACGGUAACUAACCAGAAAGGGACGGCUAACUACGUGCCAGCAGCCGCGGUAAUACGUAGGUCCCGAGCGUUGUCCGGAUUUAUUGGGCGUAAAGCGAGCGCAGGCGGUUCUUUAAGUCGAAGUUAAAGGCAGUGGCUUAACCAUUGUACGCUUUGGAAACUGGAGGACUUGAGUGCAGAAGGGGAGAGUGGAAUUCCAUGUGUAGCGGUGAAAUGCGUAGAUAUAUGGAGGAACACCGGUGGCGAAAG
rnacentral:rRNA from 1 species